UACGUAGGUGGCAAGCGUUGUCCGGAUUUACUGGGCGUAAAGAGCGCGCAGGCGGUUGAAUAAGUCGAAUGUGAAAGCCCCCGGCUCAACUGGGGAGGGUCAUUCGAUACUGUUCGACUCGAAGGCAGGAGAGGGAAGCGGAAUUCCCGGUGUAGUGGUGAAAUGCGUAGAUAUCGGGAGGAACACCAGUGGCGAAGGCGGCUUUCUGGCCUGUUCUUGACGCUGAGGCGCGAAAGCCAGGGGAGCAAACGGG
rnacentral:rRNA from 1 species